rnacentral:rRNA from 1 species
GCCAGCAGCCAUAUCACCUUGCAACCCUAACUGGCAGCCCACUGAAGCUCAGCAGGCGUGAGCCUGGUCAGUACCUGGAUGGGAGACCUCCCGGGAAAGCGAAGGCUGCUGCUGGAA